UGGGGAAUUUUGGACAAUGGGGGAAACCCUGAUCCAGCCAUCCCGCGUGUGCGAUGAAGGCCUUCGGGUUGUAAAGCACUUUUGGCAGGAAAGAAACGUCAUGGGUUAAUACCCCGUGAAACUGACGGUACCUGCAGAAUAAGCACCGGCUAACUACGUGCCAGCAGCCGCGGUAAUACGUAGGGUGCAAGCGUUAAUCGGAAUUACUGGGCGUAAAGCGUGCGCAGGCGGUUAGGAAAGAAAGAUGUGAAAUCCCAGAGCUCAACUUUGGAACUGCAUUUUUAACUACCGGGCUAGAGUGUGUCAGAGGGAGGUGGAAUUCCGCGUGUAGCAGUGAAAUGCGUAGAUAUGCGGAGGAACACCGAUGGCGAAGGCAGCCUCCUGGGAUAACACUGACGCUCAUGAACGAAAGCGUGGGGAGCAAACAGG
rnacentral:rRNA from 1 species